rnacentral:rRNA from 1 species
GAUGAACGCUGGCGGCGUGCCUAAUACAUGCAAGUCGAGCGAACAGAUGAGGAGCUUGCUCCUCUGACGUUAGCGGCGGACGGGUGAGUAACACGUGGAUAACCUACCUAUAAGACUGGGAUAACUUCGGGAAACCGGAGCUAAUACCGGAUAAUAUAUUGAACCGCAUGGUUCAAUAGUGAAAGACGGUUUUGCUGUCACUUAUAGAUGGAUCCGCGCCGCAUUAGCUAGUUGGUAAGGUAACGGCUUACCAAGGCAACGAUGCGUAGCCGACCUGAGAGGGUGAUCGACCACACUGGAACUGAAACACGGUCCAGACUCCUACAGGAGGCAGCAGUAGGGAAUCUUCCGCAAUGGGCGAAAGCCUGACGGAGCAACGCCGCGUGAGGGAUGAAGGUCUUCGGAUCGUAAAACUCUGUUAUUAGGGAAGAACAAAUGUGUAAGUAACUAUGCACAUCUUGACGGUACCUAAUCAGAAAACCACGGCUAACUACGUG